CCUACGGGAGGCAGCAGUAGGGAAUCUUUCACAAUGGGCGAAAGCCUGAUGGAGCAACGCCGCGUGCAGGAUGAAGGCCUUCGGGUUGUAAACUGCUUUUAUAAGCGAGAAAUAUGAUGGUAACUUAUGAAUAAGGAUCGGCUAACUACGUGCCAGCAGCCGCGGUCAUACGUAGGAUCCGAGCAUUAUCCGGAGUGACUGGGUGUAAAGAGUUGCGUAGGUGGCAUAAUAAGUAGCUAGUGAAAUCUGGUGGCUCAACCAUUCAGACUAUUAGCUAAACUGGUAAGCUCGAGACCGGUAGGGGUAACUGGAAUUUCUAGUGUAGGAGUGAAAUCCGUAGAUAUUAGAAGGAACACCAAUAGCGUAGGCAGGUUGCUGGGACGGUUCUGACACUAAGGCACGAAAGCGUAGGGAGCAAACGGGAUUAGAUACCCCUGUAGUC
rnacentral:rRNA from 1 species